CGGAAAAAUAUUUUUGGAUAUUUUUGAAUUGUGGUAUGUUUGUUGAGAUUUUCUAAAAGUGUAUUUUUAGAAAAUUAUGUGAAUUGAAUGUGUGUUAGAAUUAUAUGGAAUUAUAAUUCUAUGUUUAUUUAUUGAAAUAAAUAAACUAUGUGGUGUAUCGUAUAGAAAUACGAUGACGCGGAAAGAGAUAGUCGGAAUCAAAUUUGGUUUGUGAUUAUAUGGUUAUAUGGUUGAGUCGGUCUAGAGUAUAUCCUAGAAUUUAGAGUUAUUACAUUUAUUAAUGUUUUAAUCUCUAAAUUAGAUCCAGCGAGUUUUGUCGCGGAAACCGGCGAGCAAAGGUUUUGAAUAUUCGACGGGUGGUAUUUUUAUAUAUUUGGAAUAAGCGAGUACUGCGAGUAGUUUGAGGUGAGGAUUUCCAAUUUCUUGUUCCGGAAAUCCCUGGAUUGAAUAAGUGAGAAUGACUUUCCUUUAUGUGUCUAGAGUUGCAGUAGCUAGAAUAAUGAACGGUGAUACCCUAGUAGUCGUUGGACUUAUUUAUGCUUUAUAUUUUAUAACGCUCAAACUCUGAUAAUUUGUAAUAUGUGAAUGCUGUGCGAAAGUCCGAGCGACUGCACUUGAAUAAAAUGCGAUGAACGCAUCUGCAUAGUGAAAUGCAGUUAAGUCCAUAGAGAAAUGGCCUGCAUAGUGAAAUGCAGUAAUUACCAUAGUAAGAUGGUAUGCACAUGAGAUGCAUGAUAAACCAUAGAGAAAUGGUUUUGAAACUAAAAUGCAAUAAUUAAAGAGAAAAUUAUGUGCA